AACAACGGGUGGAGCCUGCGGUUUAAUUGGACUCAACGCCGGACAGCUCACCGGGAACGACAGCAAUAUGUAGGCCAGGCUGAAGACCUUGCCUGAAUCGCUGAGAGGAGGUGCAUGGCCGUCGCCAGUUCGUACUGUGAAGCAUCCUGUUAAGUCAGGC
rnacentral:rRNA from 1 species